rnacentral:rRNA from 1 species
CCUACGGGGGGCAGCAGUGGGGGAUAUUGCACAAUGGGGGAAACCCUGAUGCAGCGACGCCGCGUGGGUGAAGAAGCGCCUCGGCGCGUAAAGCCCUGUCAGCAGGGAAGAAAAUGACGGUACCUGAAGAAGAAGCCCCGGCUAACUACGUGCCAGCAGCCGCGGUAAUACGUAGGGGGCAAGCGUUAUCCGGAUUUACUGGGUGUAAAGGGGGCGCAGACGGCGAUGCAAGCCAGGAGUGAAAGCCCGGGGCCCAACCCCGGGACUGCUCUUGGAACUGCGUGGCUGGAGUGCAGGAGGGGCAGGCGGAAUUCCUGGUGUAGCGGUGAAAUGCGUAGAUAUCAGGAGGAACACCGGUGGCGAAGGCGGCCUGCUGGACUGCAACUGACGUUGAGGCCCGAAAGCGUGGGGAGCAAACAGGAUUAGAUACCCGGGUAGU